rnacentral:rRNA from 1 species
GCCAUCAUUUAAAGAAAGCGUAAUAGCUCACUGGUCGAGUCGGCCUGCGCGGAAGAUGUAACGGGGCUAAACCAUGCACCGAAGCUGCGGCAGCGACACUCAGGUGUUGUUGGGUAGGGGAGCGUUCUGUAAGCCGUUGAAGGUGGCCUGUGAGGGCUGCUGGAGGUAUCAGAAGUGCGAAUGCUGACAUAAGUAACGAUAAAGCGGGUGAAAAACCCGCUCGCCGGAAGACCAAGGGUUCCUGUCCAACGUUAAUCGGGGCAGGGUGAGUCGACCCCUAAGGCGAGGCCGAAAGGCGUAGUCGAUGGGAAACAGGUUAAUAUUCCUGUACUCGGUGUUACUGCGAAGGGGGGACGGAGAAGGCUAAACCAGCCGGGCGACGGUUUGUCCCGGUUUAAGCGUGUAGGUGGGCAGUUUUGGUAAAUCCGGACUGCUGGUAACACUGAGGCGUGAUGACGAGGCACUACGGUGCUGAAGUGGUUGAUGCCCUGCUUCCAGGAAAAGCCUCUAAGCCUCAGGUAACAUUGAAUCGUACCCCAAACCGACACAGGUGGUCAGGUAGAGAAUACUCAGGCGCUUGAGAGAACUCGGGUGAAGGAACUAGGCAAAAUGGUGCCGUAACUUCGGGAGAAGGCACGCUGGCGUUAGGUGAAGGGACUUGCUCCCGGAGCCGAGGCCAGUCGCAGAUACCAGCUGGCUGCAACUGUUUAAUAAAAACACAGCACUGUGCAAACACGAAAGUGGACGUAUACGGUGUGACGCCUGCCCGGUGCUGGAAGGUUAAUUGAUGGGGUUAGCGGCAACGCGAAGCUCUUGAUCGAAGCCCCAGUAAACGGCGGC